CCUAGGAAAUCACCUCCUGCAGUUAUGCCCUAAAGUCGUCAACCUUCUUCCACAUUACGUGCUUCGACUUUAUAGUUGCACUGUAUGUCAAAAUUUAGUACGUGAUAUUGCCUGAUUAAAAUAAAUUUGCCUUAAUGAAAACAAAUUAUCAUCCCAAUAUUUUCCUUAUGGUCGUCCUCUUUUCACGCCGUCUCAACCGGUCUCAACUACCACCAUAUUGUGACAGGAUCAGUAUUAUCUUCCAUUGCAGAAGGUAAGUACACGGAAUUAAAAAAAAUACAAUCAUACAUUACGUCGGACGAACAUACCCACGUAAGUUCAUGUGAGCAACUAACCAAAUAUAAGUUUAUUCAGUGUGCGCCUGCUAAUCUGGAAAACGCCUGCAUGAAAUCGGCAAAAUUUCUCGGAAAUUGCAAUUGUGUUGCGGUUGCCAAUUUCAUUGGUGUGCCCUCGCCCUAGAGGAAUAACGUACUAGAAUAUUUACAUUCUUCUCUGGCGAUUUGGCAACGAGACAACUGCAGAAAUGCAGUUCAUGUCUGUCCUCCAUAAGUAACUUGUAAUAAGUUGGGCGGAUUUUAAUGGCAUUUGAAAUAUGUACGUUGAACAGUAAUUUCUCAACAUAUUACAAUUCUGGUCAAAACCAGACAAGAACGGGCACUAUGCGAGAAGACCUGCGUGAUUAUAUUCUUAUAUAACUUCCUGUGCUCGGGAACGUAAGUGUAUCACAUCACUAACCGGUUCUAAACGCAGCACAGUUUCCCAACACUUGUACAUAUUAGUGCCUAGUGCCCUUCCCUUGGUCCCCAAACAGUAAAGCCACCCUUCCGACACAAAAAAAAAUCAGUCUUCAAAUAUGCUGAGAAAUGGUCGGAUUUUGUCUUGAUCAGUGGUCCAUAAUCCAGUAUGGCGGCAUAAUUACUCGAAACCGCCGAUUCCAAAUCUUCGUUCUCGGCAAUGCGUGCAUUUGCUUCCGUGUGAACAGACUUCCACUGCCUCUACCACACUUUAACUGUUCUAAUCGUUCGGAUUUUGUUUUUAUUUUUCAAAAUGUGGGACCAUGUUGAAGACGUCAAUCCAUAGAGAUUUCUGUUCCGUUCUUCGACGAGUGCAAAGCUCACAGGUCUACAUACUUAAAGAUUCGCAUUCUAGCUUAAGUGUUUCCCUUUCAUUGCCAUAAUUUGGGAUAACAUCUAAUUAAAAUGCAGCAUCAUCACAAAAAUUUCCACCCCGAAGCCGUUAAAAUGCGGUAUGUGCCGUCCUAAAAAUAUGGUCCCCAACUGCGCGUGCGCGCAAAGCACAUAUACCUGAAGGGCCUCAAGGGCUCAAGGGUGAGGAAGUUCAGUAUUUGGACGAUUUGCGUUCAUUUAUGUCGUCUCAGCUUGUACCAUGUGCCCCAUAAACAACGUUGUAAAAUUUGGGAAUGUGAUUCGGGUUUUGAUAACAAUUAGGCUUCACAGAAACUAAAACCUCGGAUAAUGUUUUCCAGUCGGAGGAUAUAAUGGAGACGAGAGCAAGGUGAUCAGCCUUGCAUCCAACCCCCAACCUGGACAACUUUGUCUCUGUACUUGAGUUUCACAGUAACAGGUUGGCCCAGUUAUAACCCCAGGCACUUCUACAACUUGCAGGACAUCUAUAAACAGUGAGGGAAGAUUAAAAGGGUAAUAGAGAUUAACUCACCAUCGCCUGGUGGUAAUAAACAGAAGUUGAUGGGCACGAUGAUUACCAUGAGGAUCCCAAGUGUGUAGAAGGGUAGUCCAAACCCUCCUACCUAGAAAAGGAGGAGAGACAUUUGAGGAUGACUGGGUCGAGUGCGGAAGCUGUCUGGAAUGGUGGCAUUAGGUUAGUUCCAAUUGGGAAGGAGGUGACAACUUCCUGUGUGACCACUGCAGAAUUUGAUGCAUGUGAACUGGUAUCUACCCAGGUGUCCAUGAGUGCACAUUUGGAAACUUUGUUCAAAGAACUACUGCGAAGAGUACGUACGUUUCCCAUCAAUUUUUACAUCUGAUAUUUGUAGGCAACAGACAGAUAAAACUUGGCAUGUAUUUUAAAUUCAUUUAUUGUGUAACAUAUGCUGAGCCCAGUUGAAAAACUGUGAAAUGCACACCCUUACCCUCACUUCCCUUAAAUCUAUAUAAUUUUAACAGUCCAUGAUAGAGAAUUCAGAAGCUUUAUCAUCUGUAAUAUAGUUUGGGUUGAUAAGCACUGUUCUAUGUUAUUUAAAUUAGAAAGUUUCAAGAUUCCACAGUACUGUAACUUUAUAAUUGUACUGCAGCAAUGAAAGUAGCAACUAUAUGAAGGCCACUUCUAUGGUGAACAGAUGAACAUAGAGUGAUAUGUAGACCCACUGCUAGACAACGACCAUGAAAUAAGCAGCUGUACAAUAGCCAUUGCUAACUAAUGACUCUGUAAAUAAUGGACAUUGCUAGAUGGCCACAACAGACAUGCACACAACAAAAGAGCUGUAGGAAGUGGUGUUCUCUGUGCUAUCUGUGCUGAGGCUUCAUAACAAGGGCCAGUUGGCAUUAGGAGAGAGUCUUGAGAUGUAGUAAGAAGGGUAUGAGGUUGGUAUAAGAGAUGGAUGCCAGCCUGUGAGCAAAGGGGCAUCCCCUGGUGAAGACACAGCAGACUGAGAAGACUUACGUGCUGUAGCGAGCUGCUGAGUGUGACUUAGUGAAAGCGCUAUAGUUACUUGUAGUUACAAUCUGUAAAUGCUCAGUAAAUCCAAUUACCAAACCAAACCCCAUCUAUAGUCACUCGAUACAAAAUAUAUUAUUACAACACAGACUAUCUCUUCAGCAUUAGAACUGACAGAAAAUCAUUAACAAUGAGGUUACCUCAUCUUACAUACAAAUAAAUCAACUGCAUAGAAGACAGCUUUGGAAAUCAAAAUAAUAGGGCUGUCUGAUUUCCAAGAAAAGCAAUGUACAUCAAGGGCAUUCUAAUACUUUAUGGCUUGUAAAAACAAUGAAAAUAAUUUACAUGACCAGUUUGGAAAUUAUAUUGUCAGUAAAUUUUGUAAUUCUG